CCUACGGGAGGCAGCAGUGGGGAAUAUUGCACAAUGGGGGAAACCCUGAUGCAGCGACGCCGCGUGAGUGAAGAAGUAAUUCGUUACGUAAAGCUCUAUCAGCAGGGAAGAAACACUGAACUUACGGUCAGCAGACGGUACCUGAGUAAGAAGCAACGACUAACUACGUGCCAGCAGCCGCGGUAAUACGUAGGGGGCAAGCGUUAGCCGGAUUUACUGGGUGUAAAGGGAGCGCAGACGGUGCGCCAAGUCUGGAGUGAAAUGCCCGAGCUUAACUGGGGAACUGCUUUGGAAACUGGCGAACUAGAGUGCGGUAGGGGGAAGUGGAAUGCCUAGGGUAGCGGUGAAAUGCGUAGAUAGUAGGAGGAACACCGGUGGCGAAGGCGGCGUACUGGACCGUAACUGACGUUGAGGUUCGAAAGCGUGGGGAGCAAACAGGAUUAGAUACCCUUGUAGUC
rnacentral:rRNA from 1 species